GACAGAGGGUGCAAACGUUGUUCGGAAUUACUGGGCGUAAAGCGCGUGUAGGCGGCCCUGCAAGUCGGGUGUGAAAUCCCACGGCUCAACCGUGGAAGUGCACUCGAAACUGCAGGGCUAGAGUCCUGGAGAGGAAGGUGGAAUGCUUGGUGUAGAGGUGAAAUUCGUAGAUAUCAAGCGGAACACCGGUGGCGAAGGCGGCCUUCUGGGCCAACACUGACGCUCAUGCACGAAAGCGUGGGGAGCAAACAGG
rnacentral:rRNA from 1 species